CAGUGGCUGUGCACCAAAGAGGAACCUGCCUUACGGGCUGGGGAGCUGGGACACCCUGUUCUGGAGGCCCAGCCCGGAAGCGCCCUUGCAGGUGGCCUGGUUGCAGGGUUCCUCUUCUCUGAUGUCUGAGAGGGGAAUUCAGCAAGAAGGACUCAGUCUGGAGCUGCCCAACUUCCUCAUAAGGCAGCCUGUACGAACCAGGUGACACCUUCCCACCUCGGGUCCUUCGUCCUGGGUGACCGUCUGCGGUCCUCUGUCCCUGCCCCGGCUCUGGGUCCUGACCUGGGCUGCGGCCCCCUGAAGGUACAGAGCUCUGGCGUCCUGAGCAGCCCUGCCUGUCAGGGGCCCUGGCACUCGAAAGGAGCAGGGUGCGUGUGAUCCAAAGAGAUGAGGGAGAGUCCAAACCGAGUCUUCAGGAAACCCCUCCCGCUCUGCUGUCAGACUGCGGCGCACUUCUAACUGUGAAGACGACCAGGCCUGAGUCGUGACGCUGACUCUGCGGUGUGGAGCAGACCUGGGAGAAGCUCGGAAGCCAGCCCUGGUCGGUCAGAUGACCAGGAUGGAGGGGGCGGAGGCGCAGCGUGUUCUUCUCCCGAGGGCUUCGCUGCUCAUGUGCUGAGGAGCAGGUUAGACAGUGGCACCGGCCGCUCUGUGCAGCUGUCUGACUUCAUGGGGCAAACGAGAUGUCCUUGUUGAUGAGCUUGAACAGCUCUGUGAUCCUGCCAUGCUUUGCUGAGGCGGUGGUGUAGCCCGGCCUGAGCGGUGGAGUCUCCCAUAGGGAACCUCAGGAUAAACAAUGGCGAUGUUCAGGUGUCAAACCCCUGGCCCGCGGAGAGGAGGACACAGUACCUGCAGGCUGGGGCAUCCGCCUGACACCCACAGCGGCAAGUUUAUUAGAGAGGAAAUGAGGAGACCGCGGUUGGGGAGUGGGCUGAGAAGUUAGAGUCGGGCUCACCGCUUCUUCCCCGCCCCUGACUUGCUGAGUGACAUCAGCCAAAGGAUUAGCCUGCCGGGGCAUCAGUUUCUCUGUCUCUUAGAGUGGAACAUCACCUGACCUAUCUCACAGGGCACAGUAGGAGGACUGGGCCAGCCCUUGAGAAAGAAGCAGAGGCUUGGAGACUUUGGAUGCAAAGAAGGAGCAGGGAAGUAAGAAACAGCCCACUUCUUCCCCAGGCCUUGGAGUUUGGCUCCUUUUCAGGGCUGAUGUUUGUCAUCUGCGAAACCAGGCUGGCUUGGCCUGUGCCUCAAAAAUAUUGAAAGCAAAUAUUAACUCAAGAUAAUGCAACAUGAGCAACGCAAAGGCCAAUUAACCCGAGGGAAAAGAAAAUAUCACCAUAUUUUAAAAUGAUGGCACACGAUCACUUCCAGAAUUGCUCAUAAAUUCUCAUUUUGUGGCAGCAAGAAUGUGCUGGGGGAACGAAGGCAGGGGAUCUCAGGCCAGCCCUGCUGUGGUGUCAGAGCCUCACAGCGCCCCAUUUUCGAGCAACUUUCAUGGCUGAUAAGGUGGUUGCUAGAAAAAUGGGAACUAAAUUUAUAGCUGGCUGUUGCGGAGACAAUUUACAUGUGGUAGCUCCAGAGCGCAGUGAAGGAGAUGCGCUUGAAGCCAAAAUUGGCUUCGUGGCUCUGGUUUCUCAGGCUCUGCACCACCUGCCUACAAUCAAACUGUCCAAUUACAAGAAACAAUUGUUUUCUUGCUUUCUGGGAAGUGGAGAAUUUCGUCCAGCAGAAAACUGAUUUCUAAAUGUUUCUUUUUCCUCUUAAAAAGAAAAAAAAUCAGAAAAAAAACCCCAACAACAAAUUGAAAACAUCAGCCAUGUGCUGCAGGAGAAAGUGUCCCCCUCCCAAAUGACUUUCAAAGUUCAAAAACCAGAAUACUGCUGUCUCCACUCUGAGGUGUUUUUGACCACAGGCGCUUGAUCUGUAAUUACCUCUUCUAAUAACGUUAUUAGCUGUUCUGAAGAAAGGCUCUCUCUUUUAACAGCGAGGCAGUAAUUAAAGGCUGCGAAUUUCACAGGUGAAAUCUUGCAGAAUGCACGGGUUUGAAGUCAAAGAAUCCAGCCACACACCUCUGCAUAAUUACACAUUCUUCUCCAAAUAAAAUCUUGCAUCGGAAACAAUGAAGUGGGGACAAUGAUACUAUGUAUCUUUUCUUAAAAGAUACAAUACUAUGUAUCACACCUUUUCUUAAAAGACAAGAUAUUAUGUAUCAUAUCUUUUCUUUUAUCAACUCUAAUUUGACUUGGCACAGUUUACUUCUCUGAAAUGGUUAAAAUAGCAGCCUCAAAGCUGGAAGGCACAGAAACCACUGGUCACAUGUAAACGCCACAUCAAACGUAGGCAGCAGGGUGAUAAUUACAGCGCUUGCUUUCCUCUGGCAGGUGAUAUUUUAAUGCAUGCAACCAACCAACUUCACUUGAUGUGUUUCGAAUUCAUCGUCUCUUGAGCUUUUCUUUUUGGAAAUAAAAAUAUGACCUCACGCUAUGCUAUGAUUCAAUAAAAAUAACAACCCCAUGUUAUUCAGGGUAAUAAUUCCUUUCCAAGGAAUUCUUCCAUACCCAGUGCCAUGGCUUUUGAGGAUGCCGUCUCCCCUGGAAGUCAUCCCUGGCGGGAUGGGCGGGGGCUGCCCAUCAUUUGCUGCCUGGCUCGGGGCCAGAUCAGGCAGUGGUGGUUUGCCCUUCUGCCUCAUAAUCUGGCUUUUUUGUGGCCAGGGCGCGGAGAAGAACCAGGCUAUGAAUGAAUGGAUAGCUUGGAGUGGGGUUGGGGUCCCAGAGCGGGGUCCCCUGUGCAGUGCCCUGGUGUCCACACACAAAGCCGGGCCUCACCUACCCUCCCUGAGCCUCGGUUCACCUGCCAAAUGGAGCAAUGCGCAACCAGCAGGAUGGUGCCUGGGACUGCCAAGUGUGACCAGG
ensembl:lncRNA